rnacentral:rRNA from 1 species
GUGAACGUUACAAACUGUUGCCUCGGCGGGGUCACGCCCCGGGUGCGUCGCAGCCCCGGAACCAGGCGCCCGCCGGAGGAACCAACCAAACUCUUUCUGUAGUCCCCUCGCGGACGUAUUUCUUACAGCUCUGAGCAAAAAUUCAAAAUGAAUCAAAACUUUCAACAACGGAUCUCUUGGUUCUGGCAUCGAUGAAGAACGCAGCGAAAUGCGAUAAGUAAUGUGAAUUGCAGAAUUCAGUGAAUCAUCGAAUCUUUGAACGCACAUUGCGCCCGCCAGUAUUCUGGCGGGCAUGCCUGUCCGAGCGUCAUUUCAACCCUCGAACCCCUCCGGGGGAUCGGCGUUGGGGAUCGGGACCCCUCACACGGGUGCCGGCCCCGAAAUACAGUGGCGGUCUCGCCGCAGCCUCUCCUGCGCAGUAGUUUGCACAACUCGCACCGGGAGCGCGGCGCGUCCACGUCCGUAAAACACCCAACUUUCUGAAAUGUUGACCUCGGAUCAGGUAGGAAUACCCGCUGAACUUAAGCAUAUCAAUAAGCGGA